rnacentral:rRNA from 1 species
GACGAACGCUGGCGGCGUGCUUAACACAUGCAAGUCGAACGGUGAUCUUGGGAGCUUGCUCCUGGGUGAUCAGUGGCGAACGAGUGAGUAACACGUGAGUAAACUGCCCCUGACUCUGGAAUAACUUCGGGAAACCGAAGCUAAUACCGGAUAUGACACAAAGCCGCAUGGUAUCUGUGUGGAAAGUUUUUUCGGUUGGGGAUGGACGCGCGGCCUAUCAGCUUGUUGGGGAGGUAAUGGCACACGAAGGCGACGACGGGUAGGCGGCCUGGGAGGGCGAACGGCCACAAUAGGACUGAGACACGGACCAGACUCCUACGGGAGGCAGCAGUGGGGAAUAUUGCACAAUGGGCGAACGCGUGAUACAGCGAAGCCGGGUGAGGGAAGAGGGGUUUCGGGUUGUAAACCUCUAUCAGUAGGGAAGAAGCGCAAGUGACGGUACCUACAGAAGAAGCACCGGCUAACUACGUGCCAGCCGCCGCAGUAAUAC